GCUCGUGUCGUGAGAUGUUGGGUUAAGUCCCGUAACGAGCGCAACCCUUGUCCUUAGUUACCAGCACGUUAUGGUGGGCACUCUAAGGAGACUGCCGGUGACAACCGGAGGAAGGUGGGGAUGACGUCAAGUCAUCAUGGCCCUUACGGCCUGGGCUACACACGUGCUACAAUGGUCGGUACAAAGGGUUGCCAAGCCGCGAGGUGGAGCUAAUCCCAUAAAACCGAUCGUAGUCCGGAUCGCAGUCUGCAACUCGACUGCGUGAAGUCGGAAUCGCUAGUAAUCGUGAAUCAGAAUGUCACGGUGAAUACGUUCCCGGGCCUU
rnacentral:rRNA from 1 species